rnacentral:rRNA from 1 species
UUGAACGCUGGCGGAAUGCUUUACACAUGCAAGUCGAGCGGCAGCGCGGGGGCAACCCUGGCGGCGAGCGGCGAACGGGUGAGUAACACAUCGGAACGUACCCUGUCGUGGGGGAUAACACAUCGAAAGAUGUGCUAAUACCGCAUACGACCUGAGGGUGAAAGCGGGGGAUCGCAAGACCUCGCGCGACAGGAGCGGCCGAUGUCGGAUUAGCUAGUUGGUGAGGUAAAGGCUCACCAAGGCGACGAUCCGUAGCUGGUCUGAGAGGAUGACCCGCCACACUGGAACUGAGACACGGUCCAGACUCCUACGGGAGGCAGCAGUGGGGAAUUUUGGACAAUGGGGGCAACCCUGAUCCAGCCAUUCCGCGUGAGUGAAGAAGGCCUUCGGGUUGUAAAGCUCUUUCAGCAGGAACGAAACGGCCCACUCUAACAUAGGGGGCUAAUGACGGUACCUGAAGAAGAAGCACCGGCUAACUACGU